rnacentral:rRNA from 1 species
CGGGGGGCAGCAGUGGGGAAUUUUGGACAAUGGGGGAAACCCUGAUCCAGCCAUUCCGCGUGUGCGAUGAAGGCCUUCGGGUUGUAAAGCACUUUUGGCAGGAAAGAAAUCGCACAAAUUAAUACUUUGUGUGGAUGACGGUACCUGCAGAAUAAGCACCGGCUAACUACGUGCCAGCAGCCGCGGUAAUACGUAGGGUGCAAGCGUUAAUCGGAAUUACUGGGCGUAAAGCGUGCGCAGGCGGUUCGGAAAGAGAGGUGUGAAAUCCCAGGGCUUAACCUUGGAACUGCACUUUUAACUCCCGAGCUAGAGUAUGUCAGAGGGGGGUGGAAUUCCGCGUGUAGCAGUGAAAUGCGUAGAUAUGCGGAGGAACACCGAUGGCGAAGGCAGCCCCCUGGGAUAAUACUGACGCUCAUGCACGAAAGCGUGGGGAGCAAACAGGAUUAGAUACCCGAGU